CCUGGCGGCACUAGCGCGGUUGUCCCACCUGACCCCAUGCCGAACUCAGAAGUGAAACGCCGUAGCGCCGAUGGUAGUGU
rnacentral:rRNA from 1 species